rnacentral:ribozyme from 1 species
UAUUUGUUUGCCUCUCGUUUUCUCCUUUUUCUCCACUUGUUCUUCGUGUUUUAUCUCUUCGUCUUUCUCCCUCCUAAC